rnacentral:rRNA from 1 species
CGACCUCAGAUCAGACGAGACGACCCGCUGAAUUUAAGCAUAUUACUAAGCGGAGCUACAGAA